AAGUCGUAACAAGGUUUCCGUAGGUGAACCUGCGGAAGGAUCAUUAAAACAAUCCAUUGUUAACCCAUCUGUGAACUUGUUUGACAGUGAUGUCAGAGUGGAAGAGAGUGAUGUGGCGAAAAAAAUUUGUGAGCAAUUGCAAGUUUUUCGGCUCUUUUUCCGUCUUUCAUGCGCAAGCGUGAGAGGAACUCUGAUGUUGCUUCGCCAUGUUUUAUACUUAACCCCAUUUACUUUUUUGUACUAACCUUUUUUUUAUUUUCCGGCUUAAAACCCUGGAACUUAAAUCAAAAAAUAUAAUAACAUUGAACAACUUUUAACAACGGAUAUCUAGGCUCUCAU
rnacentral:misc_RNA from 1 species